GGUCUGGUGGUGUAGUGGUAACACCCCUGCUUUACAUAAGGGAAUCGGUAUCUGGUUUCAGCAGGAGAUCUCUUGUUAGACUCAAGGUCAGGCCA